rnacentral:rRNA from 1 species
UACGUAGGGUGCGAGCGUUGUCCGGAAUUAUUGGGCGUAAAGAGCUCGUAGGCGGUGUGUCACGUCGGCCGUGAAAACUUGCAGCUUAACUGUGGGCGUGCGGUCGAUACGGGGCAUCACUGGAGUUCGGCAGGGGAGACUGGAAUUCCUGGUGUAGCGGUGAAAUGCGCAGAUAUCAGGAGGAACACCGGUGGCGAAGGCGGAUCUCUGGGCCUGUCCUGACGCUCAGGCGCGAAAGCUAGGGGGAGCGAACAGG